AGGGCAGAUUAUCAAAUAAGGGCCUUUCAGGGGCGUGGUGGGAUGGAAUAGGUCGCCUCCUCUGUCAGGGUGAUGAGAAGCAGGAGCUUCAUGAUUGGCUGCUUCCAAAUGGGGCAGGACAUCCCAAGUCUGCAGCUGAGGGGCGGGGAGGUCAUCUGUGCACGUGUUCUCCUCCAGUCCCCAGAGAAAUGGCCGCUCGGUCGCCAUCCCAAGGUGACUUCCAAGGUGACUCUUACAAUUACCAUCUUCCCUAUUUUCUAGCAAAAGUCAGAGUUCUCCGGGAGCGGUUCCUGCAUCUUUUCUCCUUCCUGGUUCGCAGAUUGAGCGGCUUCCCACCCCUCCCCAUCUGCAGAGGAAUGUCUGUCGAUGAGAAGCUGGACCCUUGCGUCGGGCUUUUCCGGCACAGCCUCGGGGGCCCUGCCCAGUGUCUGGCGAUUCAGAGCACCCCAGGGUUCACAUACCGCCUGGGGAGGUUAAAAGCAAAAACAGAAAACCUUGCCCAUGGGCAAAAACUUCUCUUUUUGAAAAAUCUUGCAGUUGUGUGUCUGGAUAAUAUUUGACAAUUUAACAUAUAUCUUUAUUCCUUUCUGUGAAAUUUUCUCUUUUAUUCUCCUUAUCCUAUCCCUGGACCCCAGGGGAAGAGUGUAGCAGAGCAGAAAAGAGAAAUACCUUCCAGGUCAUGCUAGGUUAUGUUUCCAAAUGUUUAGCGAUGGCAGACGGCAGAGGAUGUCAAGGCUUGCACAGGACAUCCCAACAAAACGGGAAGAUCUUCCCAAACCAGAACAAGCACUGGAGGCAAGGCACCUUUUGACACUCGCUGUGACGGCAUUGGAACAUUUAUCUGAAGUCUUGAGAUGGACACAGAAUUUACUACUGAGUCCUGAAAUUCCUGCGGGUUAUGAUGAGCUCACUGUGAAUUCAGCCAGAGAGGGACAUGUAGCCUGUAAGUUGGGCACACAGCGGUUGGCGGAUAGAAGAAACCAAGGGUAAUGGCAACCUUGUUAGAACUUUCUGAGAGGAUUAAUUUCUGUUAGUUGCAGAAAAAGAGCUCGAAAUGGAGGAAGGUGAAAAUCGCUCACGUGGCCUGCAUCUCGGCUUCUCAAUUUCCACAACACUCACCACUGCUACCAUAGCAGCGUCCGCUUAGAUCUUUCUGGGGCUCGGAAAUGUAAAUCCGACUCCCAGGGAACAUUUUUUGAAAGGCGCGAAGUCACACAUUCUGUGCUGCACUUCAGACACUCAUGUCCUGGCGCCCCAAAGAAGAGACAGGAAGUGCGGCAGGGGCCUCGCCGGGGUCUGCCCUGUGAUCUCUGAGGUUUGGGUCAGGACAGGCGAGAGAGCAGACAGAGCCAAGACGGUUGAGAUGUCCUGAUGACUUUGCAGCCUUUGAAAAUCCAAGCAAAAGCCCCCUUCUGUCCGGCUACAGAGCCAGCUUCCAAGGCAGAGGGACCCUUGUGUCCCCUGCAGAUGUGACAAGAAACUGAGCUGAGCUCUUUCCAAAGAUGAUUUGACCACAGACCUGGAAAGCUCAAGCAUCUGUAUUCGACAAAGCAAAGAGGGACUUGAAUUGGAACAGGAAUUUCAUUGUGUGGACGAUAAGUGCAUGAAAGUCAAAGUGAUUCUCUAUUAGCAAGAACCAACUAAAAAUGAAAAUGAGAAUAAAUAGUGUAUUCCAAAGAGUGACAAAUAUAAGAUUCUUGGGACUGAAGUUCACGAGAAUGGCACAUACCCCAAAUAAAGGACAAAAGAUGUGUUCUGAAUGAA